GAUGAACGCUGGCGGCGUGCCUAAUACAUGCAAGUCGAGCGAAUGGAUUAAGAGCUUGCUCUUAUGAAGUUAGCGGCGGACGGGUGAGUAACACGUGGGUAACCUGCCCAUAAGACUGGGAUAACUCCGGGAAACCGGGGCUAAUACCGGAUAACAUUUUGAACCGCAUGGUUCGAAAUUGAAAGGCGGCUUCGGCUGUCACUUAUGGAUGGACCCGCGUCGCAUUAGCUAGUUGGUGAGGUAACGGCUCACCAAGGCAACGAUGCGUAGCCGACCUGAGAGGGUGAUCGGCCACACUGGGACUGAGACACGGCCCAGACUCCUACGGGAGGCAGCAGUAGGGAAUCUUCCGCAAUGGACGAAAGUCUGACGGAGCAACGCAGCGUGAGUGAUGAAGGCUUUCGGGUCGUAAAACUCUGUUGUUAGGGAAGAACAAGUGCUAGUUGAAUAAGCUGGCACCUUGACGGUGCCUAACCAGAAAGCCACGGCUAACUACGCGCCAGCCGCCGCCGUAA
rnacentral:rRNA from 1 species